UUUUUUUAUAAGUUUAAAUAUUAGUUGUGAAAUAGUUGUGAUUGUGAUUUUAUGCCGAAAAAGUUAUGGACUUUUAAUUUCAUGGAAUAUUCAAACUAGUAU
rnacentral:sRNA from 1 species